AUAUAUAUAUAUUUUAAAUGAAGAUAUUAUUAAAUGCGUGUUUUGGUAUUUAAAUAAUUAUUAUAGCAUGUGUCAUAUAUUUUAUUAUUUUUUUUAUAAACACAUUUAGGAUAUGCCGGCUUGGAUUGAAGAUAUGAUUAUAUUGUCAAACAAAAGUAAAGGCACUUUAGAGUCGUUAGGUUAAAUGAUUAUUAAAUAAAAAUUAAUAAAACAAAAAAUGGACGUAUUAAUGUGUAUAUUAUAUUGGCACAUUGGAUAUGUAGGAGUAUAAAACAAUAAUAAAUUUAUACAUAUAGUGUGUGUUCUUAUUUUUUUUUAUAUAAUAUUAUAUAGGUUUAGAAAACCUACCAGAUUUCAACGAAUGCAAAAAGAUUAGCAAUUUUCAGGAACAAAUUCUAUGCAUAGUUGAAGGUAAAUACAAAAAAAAUAAAAUAAGUAUUUUAUAUUGUUUUUUUCUUUAAAUUAUAUUAAUAUGAUUAUUAAUUUUAUAAAAAAUAGAAAGUUAUACUAUUUAAUUGUAAACCCAUGUAGCACUUGAAGACAUUAAGGACACUUACCAAAAUGGUUAAAAGAAAAAAAAAAAAAAUUAUAUUCUUUUAAGUUCAUUUUUAUCCAUGAAAAAGAACAAAAAAGAAUUUCUUCCUUUUUUGUGUUUUGUGAUUUUAGCUAAAGACAUAACUUCACUAACAGCAAGAGUUUUGGCUGGAGGAAGACUAGCCGUACGGGCUUUAUCAAGACUGCAAACUUUGGCCUCAACCAUUGAUAACAAACAGCUAAUGAAAAAAAUAGGAACACCAAUGGCUACACUGAUAUUACUGCAAAGAGAAACUACAUCAGAUAGAACCAGGUGGUUAUGUGGAUCUAUUUUAACUCUGUUAACUGAUUUACCAGUAGUAUCAGACAUAGCGGAUGUAAAUACAGGGUCGUAUGGUCACGUAAACGUCAUCAUGCCCAGACAGUCUAGAAUUAGAAAUCCUGAUAGAACAAUUUUGAGGCUAAGAGAAGGUGUUUCACCUUCAGAUCUAAUAAAUGGAUAUACAUCAAGUUAAAAAAAAAGAAAAAAAAAAAAGACCUACUUUGAAAAAUAAGUAUACAUUCCUCUUUCACUUACAUAUUUAUGUAUAUAUAUUUUUGUGUGUACUUGUAUAUAUUUAAAUAUACAAUUUAAACUUGUAAGUUUUCGUAUAUAUUUUUAUCUAUACAUGCCUUGAUAUAUAUACAUAUUUUUUCAGUUCUAGCGAAUUAUACAAUAUAAACCUUUUCCGAAGGAUUGUUUUAUUUUUUUUUUAUAAAUUGUUUUGUUUUAUUUUUUUAUUUAAAAAGAAAAAGUAAAAACACAUUGUUUCACAUUUUUAAAAUAAAAAUGUUUAAUUUUUUUAAUUUUUUGUUUUA
rnacentral:lncRNA from 1 species